CACGUAGGGCGCAAGCGUUGUCCGGAAUUAUUGGGCGUAAAGAGCUCGUAGGCGGUCUGUUGCGUCCGCUGUGAAAACUCGGGGCUUAACCCCGAGCCUGCAGUGGAUACGGGCAGACUAGAGGUAGGUAGGGGAGAAUGGAAUUCCCGGUGGAGCGGUGAAAUGCGUUGAUAUCGAUAGGAACUCCGGUGGCGAAGGCGGCAUACUGGACCACUACUGACGCUGAUGCGCGAAAGCCAGGGGAGCAAACGGG
rnacentral:rRNA from 1 species